rnacentral:rRNA from 1 species
CGGGAAGAAGCUUGCUUUCUUUGCCGGCGACCGGCGCACGGGUGAGUAACACGUAUCCAACCUGCCCUUUACUCGGGGAUAGCCUUUCGAAAGAAAGAUUAAUACCCGAUGGCAUAAUGAUUCCGCAUGGUUUCAUUAUUAAAGGAUUCCGGUAAAGGAUGGGGGUGCGUUCCAUUAGGUUGUUGGUGAGGUAACGGCCCACCAAGCCUUCGAUGGAUAGGGGUUCUGAGAGGAAGGUCCCCCACAUUGGAACUGAGACACGGUCCAAACUCCUACGGGAGGCAGCAUG